rnacentral:rRNA from 1 species
AUACGGAGGGUGCAAGCGUUAAUCGGAAUUACUGGGCGUAAAGCGUACGUAGGCGGUCCGUUAAGUUAGAUGUGAAAGCCCCGGGCUUAACCUGGGAACUGCAUUUAAAACUGGCGAACUAGAGUUGAUUAGAGGGGAGUGGAAUUUCAGGUGUAGCGGUGAAAUGCGUAGAGAUCUGAAGGAACACCAGUGGCGAAGGCGACUCCCUGGACUCGAACUGACGCUGAGGUACGAAAGCGUGGGUAGCAAACGGGAUUAGAAACCCUAGUAGUCC